GAAAUGCGAUAAGUAGUGUGAAUUGCAGAAUUCAGUGAAUCAUCGAAUCUUUGAACGCACAUUGCGCCCCUUGGUAUUCCAUGGGGCAUGCCUGUUCGAGCGUCAUUUGUACCCUCAAGCUCUGCUUGGUGUUGGGUGUUUGUCCCGUCUCCGCGCGUGGACUCGCCCCAAAGUGAUUGGCAGCCGGCGUACUGGUCCCGGAGCGCAGCACAUGUCGCGCAAACGCGUGCCUUGGUACGGCGGCGUCCAUAAGCCCCUCUCUCACGCUCUUGACCUCGGAUCAGGUAGGGAUACCCGCUGAACUUAAGC
rnacentral:misc_RNA from 1 species